GAGAUACGGAGGUAGAGCACUGAAUGUCCUAGGGGGUAUUGCACCUACCGAAGACUAUCAAACUCCGAAUGCCGUCAUCUUAUACUUGGGAGUCAGACUGUGGGUGAUAAGAUUCAUAGUCGAAAGGGCAACAGCCCAGAUCGUCAGCUAAGGUCCCUAAAUGUAAGUUAAGUGGUAAAGGAUGUGGGAUUGCACAGACAACCCGGAUGUUGGCUUAGAAGCAGCCACUCAUUCAAAGAGUGCGUAAUAGCUCACUGGUCGAGUGAUCCUGCGCCGAAGAUUUCCGGGGCUAAAACUUACUACCGAAGCUACGGCAGCAGUAAUGAGGGGUAGGGGAGCGUCCCAGACGGGGUGAAGCAGGACCGUAAGGACAUGUGGACAGUAUGGGAGUGAGAAUGUUGGCAUGAGUAGCGAGAUGUGGGUGAGAAUCCCACAGGCCGUAAACCCAAGGUUUCCAGGGGAAGGUUCGUCCGCCCUGGGUUAGUCGGGACCUAAGCUGAGGCCGAAAGGCGUAGGUGAUGGACAACAGGUUGAUAUUCCUGUACUACCGAUAACCGUUUGAGAGAAGGGAUGACACAGUAGGAUAAGCUAAGCACACUGUUGGUUAUGUGUGCCCAAGCAUUGAGGCAGUCAAAGUAGGCAAAUCCGCUUUGAUAAUGCUGGGAUGUGAUGGGGAGCGAAAUUUAGUAGCGAAGUAGCUGAUUUCACACUGUCAAGAAAAGUCUCUAUCGAGGUUAAAGGUACCCGUACCGCAAACCGACACAGGUGGGUGAGGAGAGUAUCCUAAGGCCAGCGAGAGAACUGUUGUUAAGGAACUCGGCAAAAUGACCCCGUAACUUAGGGAUAAGGGGUGCCACCAUCAGGUGGCCGCAGAGAAUAGGCCCAAGCGACUGUUUACCAAAAACAUAGGUUUCUGCUAAGUCGCAAGACGAUGUAUAGGAGCUGACGCCUGCCCGGUGCUGGAAGGUUAAGGGGAUCUGUUAGAGUAAUCGAAGCAGUGAACUUAAGCCCCAGUAAACGGCGGCCGUAACUAUAACGGUCCUAAGGUAGCGAAAUUCCUUGUCGGGUAAGUUCCGACCCGCACGAAAGGCGUAACGAUUUGGGCACUGUCUCAACAACAGACUCGGUGAAAUUGUAAUUCCGGUGAAGAUGCCGGAUACCUGCGACAGGACGGAAAGACCCCAUGGAGCUUUACUGUAGCUUGACAUUGGGUCUUGGUACUACAUGUACAGGAUAGGUGGGAGGCUUUGAAACCAGGACGCCAGUUUUGGCGGAGCCAUCCUUGGGAUACCACCCUUGUAGUACUGGGACUCUAACCAUAGGCCAUGAAUCUGGUCUUGGGACACUGUCAGGUGGGCAGUUUGACUGGGGCGGUCGCCUCCCAAAAGGUAACGGAGGCGCUCAAAGGUUCUCUCAGUACGGUCGGAAAUCGUACGUAGAGUGUAAAGGCAAAAGAGAGCUUGAUUGCAAGACAUACAGGUCGAGCAAGGAUGAAAAUCGGACUUAGUGAUCCGGUGGUUCUGCGUGGAAGGGCCAUCGCUCAACGGAUAAAAGCUACCCUGGGGAUAACAGGCUUAUCUCCCCCAAGAGUCCACAUCGACGGGGAGGUUUGGCACCUCGAUGUCGGCUCAUCACAUCCUGGGGCUGUAGUAGGUCCCAAGGGUUGGGCUGUUCGCCCAUUAAAGUGGUACGCGAGCUGGGUUCAGAACGUCGUGAGACAGUUCGGUCCCUAUCCGUCGCAGGCGUAGGAAAUUUGAGAAGACCUGUCCUUAGUACGAGAGGACCGGGAUGGACGUACCUCUGGUGUACCAGUUGUCCUGCCAAGGGCAUGGCUGGGUAGCUAUGUACGGAAUGGAUAAGCGCUGAAAGCAUCUAAGCGCGAAGCCAACUUCAAGAUAAGAUUUCCCACCGCAAGGGUAAGACCCCAGAAAGACUAUCUGGUUGAUAGGUCGAAGGUGUAAGUG
rnacentral:rRNA from 1 species